GCUCAGCCUACUGUGUUACAUCUGAAAGACCCUAAUACAGUAAAAGUACUCUGAGAAUCACAAAGAGGUCUGCCCUUUCUUUUUAACUUCUGUCCUGAGCUUAACCUAAAAUCCCAAAGAGGAGGAGGCUGCGUGGCUUGCAUUUGGAUCCCCAAAGUCUCAUGCGUUCACAGCGGGGCUGUUCGAGACCCUUCCACCGUACCUUCCUGCGUUGGGCUCAGCCAGCUAUGAACUAAAAGCGUGAGUCAAAAUCAGCCUGUGCUCCUUUAAGUUGCCUGUGUCGGGAGUGACAUGGACAGAGACAGAGAUGAUAGCUGCCCUGCUGCAGGUCAAGGACAGACGGGCAGGCACCAGGCAGAAAGAACAAGUGCCGUGUUGGCCCCUCGUGUUCCCAGUCACCUGUCCCCACUCUGCCUCUGCUGAAAGUGACAGAGCCAGAGCAGGGCUCAGCCCUGCUGCCCUGGCGGGCCCAGCAGCAAGCUGAGAAGACAGAGUCUCUUCAGGAAGAAUUUUACCCUGAGCAAAGCUUCAUGGCCACAUCUGCCCAGAGGUUUACAAAGCACGGAAGAAGUGCACAUUUUGCAGGCUGAAGAAAGCAUGGGGCAGCAGGCAGGUCCUGGUGUUUUGCUGGAUCCCAUCUGAG
rnacentral:lncRNA from 1 species